rnacentral:rRNA from 1 species
GGGUAGUUUGACUGGGGCGGUCUCCUCCUAAAGAGUAACGGAGGAGCACGAAGGUUGGCUAAUCCUGGUCGGACAUCAGGAGGUUAGUGCAAUGGCAUAAGCCAGCUUGACUGCGAGCGUGACGGCGCGAGCAGGUGCGAAAGCAGGUCAUAGUGAUCCGGUGGUUCUGAAUGGAAGGGCCAUCGCUCAACGGAUAAAAGGUACUCCGGGGAUAACAGGCUGAUACCGCCCAAGAGUUCAUAUCGACGGCGGUGUUUGGCACCUCGAUGUCGGCUCAUCACAUCCUGGGGCUGAAGUAGGUCCCAAGGGUAUGGCUGUUCGCCAUUUAAAGUGGUACGCGAGCUGGGUUUAGAACGUCGUGAGACAGUUCGGUCCCUAUCUGCCGUGGGCGCUGGAGAACUGAGGGGGGCUGCUCCUAGUACGAGAGGACCGGAGUGGACGCAUCACUGGUGUUCGGGUUGUCAUGCCAAUGGCACUGCCCGGU